rnacentral:tRNA from 1 species
AUUUAUAUAGUUUAUUAAAAAUUUAAUAUUGAAGAUAUUAAGAUAAUAUUUAUAUUUAUAAAUA